rnacentral:rRNA from 1 species
ACUCCUACGGGAGGCAGCAGUGGGGAAUCUUGGACAAUGGGCGCAAGCCUGAUCCAGCCAUGCCGCGUGAGUGAUGAAGGCCCUAGGGUCGUAAAGCUCUUUCGCCAGGGAUGAUAAUGACAGUACCUGGUAAAGAAACCCCGGCUAACUCCGUGCCAGCAGCCGCGGUAAUACGGAGGGGUUAGCGUUGUUCGGAAUUACUGGGGCGUAAAGCGCGCGUAGGCGGAUUAGUCAGUUAGAGGUGAAAUCCCAGGGCUCAACCCUGGAACUGCCUUUAAUACUGCUAGUCUUGAGUUCGAGAGAGGUGAGUGGAAUUCCGAGUGUAGAGGUGAAAUUCGUAGAUAUUCGGAGGAACACCAGUGGCGAAGGCGGCUCACUGGCUCGAUACUGACGCUGAGGUGCGAAAGUGUGGGGAGCAAACAGGAUUAGAUACCCUGGUAGCGACUGA